CCAUAAAAGUGGAUUGCGAGUCAAAAAAAAAGGUAAAAGCCUUUUGAAGUUCCUUUUUGAUAUUGAAUUGCAGCUAUUGCAGGUUGUUUGAUUAUAAGACCAUAGUUUGAAUGCUUUAUAUAUAUAUUGUUUGUGUAAACCGUACACUUUAUUAGGUAGAUAGGUAUACCACAUCGACAUGAUGUAUCCUUGUCUACUUAUAAGUUAUAACUUAUGAUCUACACAUGAUUUUUGCGAUUAUAAUAGUAAGUGCAUAAAACGUCGUUUUUACUUAUUAAGUGUUAUCAUUCGCAUUGCAGGUGGGCCCAUGUAUAUGUGUAUGUGCAAUAGAUGUAGUGGUGACUAUCCUCAAAAUAGUAUGUGUUGCUGAAAAUAUUUCUGAGAACCCGCCUACCUACAGACAAAGGCUGUAUUUAGUUGAAAAUAUAAAAAACUGAAUAAUUGGGCGAUUACUAAUUGUUUACUAUAGAAUGAUUCAUUAGAGUGAAUUUUUUUUUAAACUAUGAUCUACUCUUACACUUUAUAUAAUUAUUACUUAUCAGUCAUUGAAUGAUAAAUACACCCACCCAUCCACGAACCAAAUGUUAUAUGUGUUGCUGAAGCAAAACAAGAAUAGUCUCCACUGAAUAGUUGCGCGUGCAUAUGCUGGUGGUUUUAUAAUGGCGAUUCGAAAAUUGCAACUCAUUAAUUUACCUAAUUAAUGUUCGUUAAAUGUAUGCGUAAUUCAAUAAAAAAAACGCUCUAAUUUGAAUAUACGUAUGUAUCGUGGCAUAAAAUGUUAUUUAUCUAAGACGAUCAUAUUAAGUUGUACGUGGGAAUAACUAAAGUAUAACUUCUAACGUUCUUAACUUUGUAUACUUACCUACAUAUACAGUCAACGACGGGAUUAGCAUAAGUGCAAAAGAAUCUUUUGCUCCAGAGCGACACAUUUAUAGCGCGGCAUCUUUCACAUAGGUAUGUACCGAAGCCCUACUCGUGACACUGUGACAGUGAAGAAGUAUCGUUCUCAACACUUCAGCAGCUGUUAAAUACACACACUUAUCAUGACCCGGCAGAAGACCUACCAAGUAGACGGGCUCAUCGAUGAAAUUACCGGGGCACAAAAAGAAAUACAAGAAAUAUAUUAUGUUUAUCAAUAGAAAAAAUCAUUUUCCAUCGGUCAAGUUCGCGAAUUGUUUGAGUCGCUACCGAUGUCUAAGAGUGUGGUGCGAUCUGGAGAGAAAUAAACUUACAAAAUAGUAGGUCUGUUGAACGGAUUUUAGAUUGCGUACGAUUUUAAAUACCUACAUUUUUCGUACCAGCAAAACUGAUAUUUUUAAUGGACGUGUUCAAAUAUAGAAGAUAGGGAAAAUAUCUCAUACGUGGGUUCAAUAUUUAGCUCCUUCUCACUGAAAAUGCAUUUGAAUCAAGUUUAAUUUUAGAAGGGUGACUUCAGCAAUGUUCCAUUAUAAAUCGGGACUGUUUAAUACAAUAUACCUAUAUAAAUAUAAGUACAACCAAGUUUAGCGAUGUAUCGGAUGCCCGAAUAAAAUCGGGCCAGCAAAACCGCAACGAGCCUAACGACUUGGAAAUUGACGAUAAAGACGUACAACAUAUAAUAAUAUAUAAUAUAUUAUAUAUUGCAAUAUAUCUGCAGUGUGAUAUUUCCACCGUUAAAACGGUCGGCAGACGCAAGUGAGGUCCUGUCGGAUUCGAUUCCGGACCGGGCAUAUAAUAAUAUGCUUUUAAGCCACGUCAUUCUUCCGGAGAAGUUAACAAUUCGGGUAUAAUAUAUAUAAUAUGGACCGUCGCACGACCAUGUUCAGUGGAGCCCAUUAUCUUGUUGAAGAAUAAAUUAAUAAAGCAAAUAUACGUACCUAUACAAACUCGUCUAUACACGA